GCUAAUGCAGUCGACGCUUCUUUUUCCACCGGAGCUUGCUCCACCGGAAAAAGAGGAGUGGCGAACGGGUGAGUAACACGUGGGUAACCUGCCCAUCAGAAGGGGAUAACACUUGGAAACAGGUGCUAAUACCGUAUAACAAUCGAAACCGCAUGGUUUUGAUUUGAAAGGCGCUUUCGGGUGUCGCUGAUGGAUGGACCCGCGGUGCAUUAGCUAGUUGGUGAGGUAACGGCUCACCAAGGCGACGAUGCAUAGCCGACCUGAGAGGGUGAUCGGCCACAUUGGGACUGAGACACGGCCCAAACUCCUACGGGGGAGCAGUGGGAAUCUUCGGCAAUGGACGAAAGUCUGACCGAGCAACGCCCGUGAGUGAAGAAGUUUCGGAUCGUAAAACUUGUGUAGAGAAACGGAUGAAGUAACUGAUCCCUUGACGUAUCUAACCA
rnacentral:rRNA from 1 species